AUGUGCGGCAGGCUAACACAUGCAGUCGAGCGGCAGCGGGAAAGUUAGCUUGCUUACUUUUGCCGGCGAAGCGGCGGACGGGUGAGUAAUGCCUGGGGAUCUGCCCAGUCGAGGGGGAUAACUACUGGAAACGGUAGCUAAUACCGCAUACGCCCUACGGGGGAAAGCAGGGGACCUUCGGGCCUUGCGCGAUUGGAUGAACCCAGGUGGGAUUAGCUAGUUGGUGAGGUAAUGGCUCACCAAGGCGACGAUCCCUAGCUGGUCUGAGAGGAUGAUCAGCCACACUGGAACUGAGACACGGUCCAGACUCCUACGGGAGGCAGCAGUGGGGAAUAUUGCACAAUGGGGGAAACCCUGAUGCAGCCAUGCCGCGUGUGUGAAGAAGGCCUUCGGGUUGUAAAGCACUUUCAGCGAGGAGGAAAGGUUGGUAGCUAAUAACUGCCAGCUGUGACGUUACUCGCAGAAGAAGCACCGGCUAACUCCGUGCCAGCAGCCGCGGUAAUACGGAGGGGUGCAAGCGUUAAUCGGAAUUACUGGGCGUAAAGCGCACGCAGGCGGUUGGAUAAGUUAGAUGUGAAAGCCCCGGGCUCAACCUGGGAAUUGCAUUUAAAACUGUCCAGCUAGAGUCUUGUAGAGGGGGGUAGAAUUCCAGGUGUAGCGGUGAAAUGCGUAGAGAUCUGGAGGAAUACCGGUGGCGAAGCGGCCCCCUGGACAAAGACUGACGCUCAGUGCGAAAGCGUGGGGGAGCAAAGCAGGAUUAGAUACCCUGGGUAGUCCCACCGCCGUAAACGAUGUCGAUUUGGAGCUGUGUCGUUGAGACGUGGCUUUCCGGAGCUAACGCGUUUAAAUCGACCGCCUGGGGGAGUACGGCCGCAAGUAAAACUCAAUGAACUGACCGGGGGCCCGGCACAAGCAUGAAGCAUGUGGCUUAAUUUCGAUGCAACGCGUGGAACUUACUGACAUGACAUGUUCUGGAAUCUGUCUAAGAAUGCGACAUUGCGUACAGGAAUCAGCAA
rnacentral:rRNA from 1 species